rnacentral:rRNA from 1 species
AACCGCCCGGGAAUUACGAGCCCAAGCUUAAAACCCAAAGGACUUGACGGUGUCCCACCCACCUAGAGGAGCCUGUUCUAUAAUCGAUUCCCCCCGAUCUACCUCACCACUUCUAGCCUCUCAGCCUGUAUACCUCCGUCGUAAGCUUACCAUAUGAACGAUUUUUAGUGAGCUAAAAGAUUUUACAUAAAUACGUCAGGUCAAGGUGCAGCCCACGAUGUGGAAAGAAAUGGGCUACAAUUUCUAUGAUAGAACAUAACGAAAGACUACAUGCAACUCAGUCAUGAAGGCGGAUUUAGUAGUAAAAAGAAAGUAGAGAGUUCUUUUUAAUUAGGCGCUGGGACGCGUACACACCGCCCG